AUUGAACGCUGGCGGCAGGCCUAACACAUGCAAGUCGAACGGUAGCACAGAGAGCUUGCUCUUGGGUGACGAGUGGCGGACGGGUGAGUAAUGUCUGGGAAACUGCCCGAUGGAGGGGGAUAACUACUGGAAACGGUAGCUAAUACCGCAUAACGUCUUCGGACCAAAGUGGGGGACUUUCGGGCCUCACACCAUCGGAUGUGCCCAGAUGGGAUUAGCGAGUAGGUGGGGUAAAGGCUCACCUAGGCGACGAUCCCUAGCUGGUCUGCGAGGAUGACCAGCCACACUGGAACUGAGACACGGUCCAGACUCCUACGGGAGGCAGCAGUGGGGAAUAUUGCACAAUGGGCGCAAGCCUGAUGCAGCCAUGCCGCGUGUAUGAAGAAGGCCUUCGGGUUGUAAAGUACUUUCAGCGGGGAGGAAGGCGUUAAGGUUAAUAACCUUGGCGAUUGACGUUACCCGCAGAAGAAGCACCGGCUAACUCCGUGCCAGCAGCCGCGGUA
rnacentral:rRNA from 1 species